UACGGGGGGGGCAAGCGUUGUUCGGAAUUACUGGGCGUAAAGGGCUCGUAGGCGGCCAACUAAGUCAGACGUGAAAUCCCUCGGCUUAACCGGGGAACUGCGUCUGAUACUGGACGGCUUGAGAUUGGGAGAGGGAUGCGGAAUUCCAGGUGUAGCGGUGAAAUGCGUAGAUAUCUGGAGGAACACCGGUGGCGAAGGCGGCAUCCUGGACCAACACUGACGCUGAGUGAGCGAAAGCCAGGGGAGCAAACGGG
rnacentral:rRNA from 1 species